rnacentral:rRNA from 1 species
UACGAAGGGGGCUAGCGUUGUUCGGAAUUACUGGGCGUAAAGCGCGCGCAGGCGGUCUUCCAAGUCAGUGGUGAAAGCCCGGAGCUCAACUCCGGAACUGCCAUUGAAACUGUAAGACUUGAGGAUGAGAGAGGUGAGUGGAAUUCCCAGUGUAGAGGUGAAAUUCGUAGAUAUUCGGAAGAACACCAGUGGCGAAGGCGGCUCACUGGACCGGUAUUGACGCUGAGGUGCGAAAGCGUGGGGAGCAAACAGG